AUACGGAGGAUCCGAGCGUUAUCCGGAUUUAUUAGGUUUAAAGGGUGCGCAGGCGGAACUGUAAGUCACCGGUGAAAUCCUACAGCUUAACUGUAGAACUGCCGGUGAUACUGCGAUUCUUGAGUAUAGUUGAGGUAGGCGGAAUGUGUAGUGUAGCGGUGAAAUGCAUAGAUAUUACACAGAACACCGAUUGCGAAGGCAGCUUACUAAACUAUUACUGACGCUCAUGCACGAAAGCGUGGGGAGCGAACAGGAUUAGAAACCCGUGUAGUCC
rnacentral:rRNA from 1 species